CAGGGGACAGUUUAGGUAGAAUCUUGGCUUUGGGAGCCAAGGGCAGAAGUUUAACCCUUCUUUCCCUGA
rnacentral:tRNA from 1 species